rnacentral:lncRNA from 1 species
UGUGCACUUUCUUGACAUCUUAUACUACCGUAAAACUUGCAAAAUUGAAAAUUCAUCAAAUGUUGGAUAUACUUUAAAAAUAGUUAGAUUUGUAGAGUUACUAAUUUUAUUCACAAAAAUCUGGUCACCGAAGACUCGAUCUAAAAUUAGUAAUUUUAUAUCACAGCACCGGCCUAGCUCUGGUAAGAAAAAAACGUGUGUAAGAGACACA